rnacentral:rRNA from 1 species
AACGUAGGACACAAGCGUUAUCCGGAGUUACUGGGCGUAAAGGGCGUGUAGGCGGUUAGUUAAGUCUGGCGUGGAAGCUCUCGGCUAAACCGGGAGAGGUCGUUGGAUACUGGCAAACUUGAGGACGGUAGAGGCGUGUGGAAUUCCGGGUGUAGUGGUGAAAUGCGUAGAGAUCCGGAGGAACACCAGUGGCGAAGGCGACACGCUGGGCCGUACCUGACGCUAAAGCGCGACAGCAUGGGGAGCAAACGGG